AAGAAGAUACAUUAAGGUUUUACACUUCUUAAGCAGAAUAAAGUUGAUUGCUCAUGAGUGUUGAAGAUUGAAGUUUUCAAUCUUCUUUUAUUCAUGCACCUAUUUUAUUCUUUGUUAUUCCUUUAUGUUUUGUUGAUCUUCUUGAUCAGAUUCACUCUACUCUCACACACACUUAACCCUUCUAGUUAUAUUUUCCACUUUGUGUGUGUUUCUUUCACCUGUGUUUUUUGUGUAACACA
rnacentral:lncRNA from 1 species